rnacentral:lncRNA from 1 species
GUCUCUCUCAAUAUUACAAAGCAACCAACCGCAUUGUCCAUGUUAUAUUUAUCAGCAAGCAUUGAAGAAAAAAGGAAAAAAAAACCAAUGGGCACAUGAAAAGUGGCACAUCCCAUCACUUUGAGGUUCUCUCUAUUUUACAAAAGCUCAUAAUUUACAGAAAGUUAUUUUUUUAAAAAGAAAUGUCAUCUUCUUCAAUCUAUA